GCUGGAGGUAUCAGAAGUGCGAAUGCUGACAUAAGUAACGAUAAAGCGGGUGAAAAGCCCGCUCGCCGGAAGACCAAGGGUUCCUGUCCAACGUUAAUCGGGGCAGGGUGAGUCGACCCCUAAGGCGAGGCCGAAAGGCGUAGUCGAUGGGAAACGGGUUAAUAUUCCCGUACUUGGUGUUACUGCGAAGGGGGGACGGAGAAGGCUAUGUUGGCCGGGCGACGGUUGUCCCGGUUUAAGCGUGUAGGUGUGUGUUCCAGGUAAAUCCGGUUCACUUUAACACUGAGGCGUGAUGACGAGGCACUACGGUGCUGAAGCAACAAAUGCCCUGCUUCCAGGAAAAGCCUCUAAGCAUCAGGUAACAUCAAAUCGUACCCCAAACCGACACAGGUGGUCAGGUAGAGAAUACCAAGGCGCUUGAGAGAACUCGGGUGAAGGAACUAGGCAAAAUGGUGCCGUAACUUCGGGAGAAGGCACGCUGACAC
rnacentral:rRNA from 1 species